CAGCAGGCAAGAAAAGCGCGGUCUCCUCGCAGAAAGCGCCCUCUGCGUUGAGCAGUGCUGCCCCUGGUGAUGGUCAGAGAGACGGACAGCAGCGACUUCCUGACUGCGCAGCGAAAGACAUGGCAGCCUGGGAAUCUUCUGGACAGAGGAUGUUUUCGUGUUACUCUCCUGUGACGGGCAAGCCUAGUGCUUCAGGCUUUCGAGAGAUCUCCCCUGAGAAGGGGCGCCUGGAGUAUUAUAACUGCCGUGCGAAGGAGAGCACUGGAUACUAC